rnacentral:lncRNA from 1 species
CCUGUGUGGCCUGAGAUGAGUGUCUUUCAUGCCACGUGACAAUCUUGAGGCCCGUGAAAGCUGUUGGUAUGUCAACAGUUAGCUGCUUCUCAUUGCUGAGUGGCGAUUGGUCCUGUCAUGGUUUAUUCAGCCAUGUGGUGGAUGGCUACUUGUCUUCUAAGCCACUUGCCUUCUGAUCGCUGGACUGACUCUCUCGCCCUCUCUUGGUGCAGCCCUCGGGAGGCUCGGUCACAAUCUCCGAGAGCACAGCCAUCAUCUCUCACGGUACCACAGGCCUGGUCACAUGGGACGCCACCCUCUGCCUUGCAGAAUGGGCCAUCGAGAACCCAGCAGCCUUCACUAACAGGACUGUCCUAGAACUUGGCAGUGGUGCCGGCCUCACAGGCCUUGCCAUCUGCAAGAUGUGCCGCCCCCGGGCAUACAUCUUCAGCGACCCUCACAGCCGGGUCCUCGAGCAGCUCCAAGGGAAUGUCUUUCUCAAUGGCCUCUCAUUAGAGGCAGACAUCACUGCCAACUUAGACAGCCCCAGGGUGACAGUGGCCCAGCUGGACUGGGACGUAGCGACGGUCCAUCAGCUCUCUGCCUUCCAGCCAGAUGUUGUCAUUGCAGCAGUAACCUGAAGCUUUCACCGUAGACGUGCUGUAUUGCCCAGAAGCCAUCGUGUCGCUGGUCGGGGUCCUGCGGAGGCUGGCUGCCUGCCAGGAGCACAAGCGGGCUCCUGAGGUCUACGUGGCCUUUACCGUCCGCAACCCAGAGACGUGCCAGCUGUUCACCACCGAGCUAGGCUGGGCCGGGAUCAGAUGGGAAGCAGAAGCUCAUCAUGACCAGAAACUGUUUCCCUACGGAGAGCACUUGGAGAUGGCAAUGCUGAACCUCACACUGUAGGACUCACACACGACUCUAACGGGAUUGUAAGAAUCAAGUCACUCUCAUGGGAAGAAUUUUUAUAUGGGAAAGCGGCUAAAACUUUCAUUGGACUGGAAUGUUUGGAGAUUGUUAAAUUCCAAAUCAGGAACCACAAACUGCCCUCUAAUAAGAUAUCAGCUGUCUAAGCGUGUGGGUGCCGCCUUUCUGCCAGUAGUUCUGGUUCUUAAGAAAAGCACCAUAAAUCAGACAUGAAAAUUCUGGCUCCAAAAAUAGCAUUUUCUUUGUGCAAAUAAAAACGUGUGUAUCAAGUAUGACGUUCCCCCAACGUGGACACACUUGGUUCCUCAGAAAGCCAAGCCCGCUGCAGCUGCCACAUCCCAGGGCUUAUGGUGCAGCAGGUGCUUUUUUCAAGACAGGAAUCAAAGUGUUAGGAACACGGCAGACAGGUGACACCUGGAUACCAAAUGCAGGAUGAGGAGUACUGCAGAGGUCACAGGGAAGUCACAGAACAGUAAUACGCUAGCAGGGGCAUGGGGCGUGAAGAACAGAAGAAGACAGGAAGCGUUUCAGAGACUCCAAAGAAGAAAUCAGGGCCCACCACAGCUUCCCGGGUCAUUCACCAGGUGGCACCACUGCCGUCAUUUCAGCUUCUGGCCACUGGGAGGCGCUGCUCGAAAGGGUUUGCCCUGAGACUCCAAGAAGAAGCUGCGGGAAGGACAGCAGGGGCCCUGGGGUUUUAGCCUCUGGCCCAGGAGUUAUGUGUCCAUAACCAAAGGGAGCAUAGUCUGCACCCAGCUCUCAUCCCAUCAGAGCUGCUGCGACUCCCGCAGGUUCUUCUGGAACUGGUUUAGCUUGCCUGC